CAAUGCCCAAACGUCUUUAGCUUUGCAGUGUAUGUUUUGGCUGCGGGAGGCUCAAUUUUUCAAUUAAAGAUUUGAAAAAAGUGUAUGUAUGUGACAGAGAAAGAGAACAGCUUCAGUUGGUCAAGGUUUUGCAUUGGAAGAAGGCAUGCUAUUAUAACAACCCUCCUCCUAAAACCACAGUAGCUAGUAGUGCAAUAGACCAUAAAUUUCAAGAAGAAAUUCAAGUCGAAGAGGGAGAAGGAAGAGGAAAAAUAUGAGGAGGAAGAGGAAGAAGAGGAGGAAGAGAAAGAAGAGGAGCAGUAGGAGGAGACAGGGC
rnacentral:lncRNA from 1 species